UACCUGCUCUAAGGUAUAUGAACGAGUAGUCUUAAAUCAAUUCACCGAGUAUGCAACAAGGAGCUAGAAACUGUCUCAGUGAACACCAGAUUGGAAAUAGAAAACGGCAUUCGACAGCCACUUAAAAUUUUGAGGUCGGAUCUAGCCCUGGAGGCAAUGGAUCGCAAGCAAGUCACUGCCUUGGUAUUAUUAGAUCUUUCGAAGGUAUUUGACAGCAUUGAUCACAUGUCCUUGUCAAAGAAGCUACAUGCAAUGGGUACCUCUAAAGAAGUAAUGGAAUGGUGUAGAAGCUAUUUGACCAGAAGAAAUCACUCACUGAGAAUUGGUUGAGAAAC